rnacentral:ncRNA from 1 species
AGCGGAUGACCUGUGGAUCGGAGUGAAAGGCUAAUCAAGCUCGGAGAUAGCUGGUUCUCCUCGAAAGCUAUUUAGGUAGCGCCUCAUGUAUCACUGUAGGGGGUAGAGCACUGUUUCGGCUAGGGGGUCAUCCCGACUUACCAAACCGAUGCAAACUCCGAAUACCUACAAGUGCCGAGCAUGGGAGACACACGGCGGGUGCUAACGUCCGUCGUGAAAAGGGAAACAACCCAGACCGUCAGCUAAGGUCCCAAAGUUAUGGUUAAGUGGGAAACGAUGUGGGAAGGCUUAGACAGCUAGGAGGUUGGCUUAGAAGCAGCCACCCUUUAAAGAAAGCGUAAUAGCUCACUAGUCGAGUCGGCCUGCGCGGAAGAUGUAACGGGGCUCAAACCAUACACCGAAGCUACGGGUAUCACGUAAGUGAUGCGGUAGAGGAGCGUUCUGUAAGCCUGUGAAGGUGAGUUGAGAAGCUUGCUGGAGGUAUCAGAAGUGCGAAUGCUGACAUGAGUAACGACAAUGGGUGUGAAAAACACCCACGCCGAAAGACCAAGGUUUCCUGCGCAACGUUAAUCGACGCAGGGUUAGUCGGUCCCUAAGGCGAGGCUGAAAAGCGUAGUCGAUGGAAAACAGGUUAAUAUUCCUGUACUUCUGGUUAUUGCGAUGGAGGGACGGAGAAGGCUAGGCCAGCUUGGCGUUGGUUGUCCAAGUUUAAGGUGGUAGGCUGAGAUCUUAGGUAAAUCCGGGAUCUUAAGGCCGAGAGCU